UACGUAGGGUGCGAGCGUUAAUCGGAAUUACUGGGCGUAAAGCGUGCGUAGGCGGUUCGCUGUGUCCGAUGUGAAAGCCCCGGGCUUAACCUGGGAAUGGCAUUGGAAACUGGCGGGCUUGAGUGCGGCAGAGGGGGGUGGAAUUCCGGCGGUGUAGCAGUGAAAUGCGGUAGAGAUGCGGAGGAACACCGAUGGCGAAGGCAGCCCCCUGGGUCGACACUGACGCCUCGAGG
rnacentral:rRNA from 1 species